UUAAUGAGGUGAAGCAGAUAUAAUGUCUCUUGAAGUGGACUUAACAGUGCCAAAGAGCUUGGUGGGACCUGUGGGUGUUACAUUAUUGGUUAACACACAAAUAUCUUGUCUUGAUGGCAUGCUGGAGAGAUGAAUGACUGGCCAAUUCAUUUCUAUAUAUAUCAUCUUUGAAAAAUGAUGUAUUCAUAUCCACUUAGCCGUUACCAUUAAGUUAAACCUGUCAUAACAGGUUACAC